rnacentral:rRNA from 1 species
CCUACGGGAGGCAGCAGUGGGGAAUAUUGCACAAUGGGGGAAACCCUGAUGCAGCGACGCCGCGUGAGCGAUGAAGUAUUUCGGUAUGUACAGCUCUAUCAGCAGGGAAGUAAAUGACGGUACCUGACUAAGAAUCCCCGGCUAACUACGUGCCAGCAGCCGCGGUACUACGUAGGGGGCAAGCGUUAUCCGGAUUUACUGGGUGUAAAGGGAGCGUAGACGGCGGUGCAAGCCAGAUGUGAAAGCCCGGGGCUCAACCCCGGGACUGCAUUUGGAACUGUGCUGCUAGAGUGUGGGAGAGGCAGGCGGAAUUCCUGGUGUAGCGGUGAAAUGCGUAGAUAUUAGGAGGAACACCAGUGGCGAAGGCGGCCUGCUGGACGAUGACUGACGUUGAGGCUCGAAAGCGUGGGGAGCAAACAGGAUUAGAUACCCCAGUAGUC